GUCCACGCCCUAACGAUGUCAACUGGUUGUCGGGAAGCAAUUCCUUGGUAACGAAGCUAACGCGUGAAGUUGACCGCCUGGGAGUACGGCCGCAAGGUUAAACUCAAAGGAAUUGACGGGACCCGCACAAGCGGUGGAUUAUGUGGAUUAAUUCGAUGCAACGCGAAACCUUACCUACCCUUGACAUGUACGGAACCUCGCAGAGAUGUGAGGGUGCCCGAAAGGGAGCCGUAACACAGGUGCUGCAUGGCUGUCGU
rnacentral:rRNA from 1 species